rnacentral:rRNA from 1 species
GGUCGGGAAAACCGUUGGAAACGACGGCUAAUACCGGAUGUGGCGCCCGGCGACAUCGCCGGAGCGCUAAAGGGGGCCGCAAGGCUCUCGCUCGUAGAGGGGCUCGCGCAACCAUCAGCUUGUUGGCGGGUAACGGCCCACCAAGGCCUACGGUUAGCUGGUCUGAGAGGAUGACCCAGCCCCACUGGGACUGAGAUACUGCCCAGACUCCUACGGGAGGCUGCAGUCGAGGAUCAUUUGCAAUGGGCGAAAGCCUGACAAUGCGACGGCUGCGUGGAAGGAUGAAGGCCUUCGGGUUGUAAACUCCUGUCAUGGGGGAACAGGCGAGGAAACCUAAUACGUUUCUUAGUUGAGUGUACCCCAAGAGGAAUUGGCGGCUAACCUCUGUGCCAGCAGCCGC